UACGAAGGGUGCUAGCGUUGUUCGGAAUCCCUGGGCGUAAAGCGCGCGUCGGCGGCUUUGCAAGUCCGGUGUGAAAUCCCACAGCUUAACUGUGGAACUGCCUUUGAAACUGCAAGGCUAGAGUGUCGGAGGGGAUAGCGGAAUUGCUAAUGUAGAGGUGAAAUUCGUAGAUAUUAGCAGGAACACCGGUGGCGAAGGCGGCUAUCUGGACGACAACUGACGCUGAGGCGCGAAAGCGUGGGGAUCAAACAGG
rnacentral:rRNA from 1 species